rnacentral:rRNA from 1 species
AUGAACGCUGACAGAAUGCUUAACACAUGCCAGUCAUUGGCGAAGCUGCGCUUGCGCAGUCUAGCCAAGGCGGACGGGUGAGUAACGCGUAAGGAACUUGCCCUGCAGACAGGGAUAACAGACGGAAACGACUGAUAACACCUGGUAUUGUCAGGCUGGCGCAUGCCGGCCUGAUGAAAGGAGACGCUGCAGGAGAGCCUUGCGUCCUAUUAGCUAGUUGGUGGGGUAACGGCCCACCAAGGCGAUGAUAGGUAGCCGGCCUGAGAGGGUGAACGGCCACAAGGGGACUGAGAUACGGCCCUUACUCCUACGGGAGGCAGCAGUGGGGAAUAUUGGACAAUGGGGGCAACCCUGAUCCAGCAAUUCUGUGUGCACGAAGAAGGUUUUCGGAUUGUAAAGUGCUUUCAGCAGGGAAGAAGAAAGUGACGGUACCUGCAGAAGAAGCGACGGCUAAAUACGUG